GAUGAAGAACGUAGCGAAAUGCGAUAAGUAAUGUGAAUUGCAGAAUUCAGUGAAUCAUCGAAUCUUUGAACGCACAUUGCGCUCCCUGGUAUUCCGCAGGGCAUGCCUGUUCGAGCGUCAUUUCAACCCUCAAGCCCCGCUUGGUGUUGGGCCCCGCCCGCUGUGGCCGGCCCUAAAGACAGUGGCGGCGCCGCCUGGCCCUCAGCGUAGUACAUCUCUCGCUCCAGGGUCCGGUGGCCGCCUGCCAGAACCCCCCAACUCUGUGGUUGACCUCGGAUCAGGUAGGGAUACCCGCUGAACUUAAGCAUAUCAAUAAGCGGAGGA
rnacentral:misc_RNA from 1 species